GAUGAACGCUGGCGGCGUGCCUAAUACAUGCAAGUCGAACGAGGUGCCUUUGUAGCAAUACGAGGGUAUCCUAGUGGCGAACGGGUGAGUAACGCGUUGGUGACCUGCCCCGAAGUGUGGGAUAACAGUCCGAAAGGACUGCUAAUACCGCAUGCGGUCAUCGGGUUUAGAAGCCGAUGACCAAAGCAGCAAUGCGCUUUGGGAGGGACCUGCGUCCCAUCAGCUAGUUGGUAGGGUAACGGCCUACAAAGGCUACGACGGGUAGGGGACCUGAGGAGGGGACCCCCCACAAUGGAACUGAAAUAGGGUCCAUACACCUACGGGUGGCAGCAGUAGGGAAUAUUGCACAAUGGGCGAAAGCCUGGUGCAGCAACGCCGCGUGCACGAUGAAGGUCUUCGGAUCGUAAAGUGCUUUUCUGGGAGAUGAGAAUGGACAGUAUCCCAGGAAUAAGUCUCGGCUAACUACGUGCCAGCCGCCGCAGUAAAAC
rnacentral:rRNA from 1 species